UGGAGUACUGCAAAUUCUUGGAGUACUGGAGUACUCCAUCCUGACCGUUAAUUUGUUUUUAAUCCAACGCUUAUCAUAAUUUGGUUUUAUAAUUUUUAAAUAUCUGUUUAAUAGACCGUAUAUGUACAGCAUCCGUAUGUUGUAUUUAGUUUAUGUAUAUCACUAAUAACUGCCCGCCGUUAAUGGAGGGGCAUCAUUUUCGGAUGGCGUUGUCUCCCUUAACAGUCUCCCCCGUAAAAACUACAUCACCAUUUCAUUCCCCUCCUACCCAGGUCGUUGUUCUGUUGUCCAGUGUUAGAUUGUUCCUUAAAAUUUUUAAAUCAAUAUUACAUCUUGUGGUUCAUCUGCAAAUGGUUUGAUGAGACAAGCAAUCAGGGUUGUUGGUGACCAUUUUCCUACGCUUAUUGUUUGAUUGUUGUCUCGUUGUCCUGUUGAUUGUAAAUGUUCUUCUCUUCGAUUCCGACUGUUGUCACUGCAAUUAUCCGUUAAGGGUACAUUUUCCGGUUGUUCUGCAAAUAGAAGGUCGAGAAGAACAUUCAGCUUAGAAUAUUCAGACUCCAAGGAAGGCCUGUGAGAUGUUCAUCUUAGAGCUGACUAUGCGUUCUUGGUUACUUGUCGAGGAGAACAAAAGGAGAACGCUGCAGAACAAAAGGAGGACAAUUCCGUUGCUGGGUUCACCUGUUGAUUCUGUACCAUAUAACUAUGUGCAUGCCGUGGAACAAGUAGGCUUCUAUCCUGAUCAACAGGCCCACCCGUAGCUACCCUAUAUGUCAUGGCAGCAUCCCCAUGAACCUAAAGAUGAGAAUGAGACUGGAAAAUGAUAUCAUUGCUGAGUAAUUUUACGAAUCUAUCACGACAUCUUUGUAUUUUGUUGAUGUUCAUGAUGAAUCUCUGUAGCUUUAGUCAGUGGUCAAGUAGUAUGUUAUUGUACUCUAAACUUUGCAACUUUAAGUUCUGAGCAGGACAAGGUGAAAUUGCCUACUGGGUUGCACCAAGUCUCUUUUGUGGU